rnacentral:rRNA from 1 species
AGUGAACGCUGGCGGUAGGCCUAACACAUGCAAGUCGAACGGCAGCACAGUAAGAGCUUGCUCUUACGGGUGGCGAGUGGCGGACGGGUGAGGAAUACAUCGGAAUCUACUUUUUCGUGGGGGAUAACGUAGGGAAACUUACGCUAAUACCGCACACGACCUACGGGUGAAAGCAGGGGAUCUUCGGACCUUGCGCGAUUGAAUGAGCCGAUGUCGGAUUAGCUAGUUGGCGGGGUAAAGGCCCACCAAGGCGACGAUCCGUAGCUGGUCUGAGAGGAUGAUCAGCCACACUGGAACUGAGACACGGUCCAGACUCCUACGGGAGGCAGCAGUGGGGAAUAUUGGACAAUGGGCGCAAGCCUGAUCCAGCCAUACCGCGUGGGUGUAGAAGGCCUUCGGGUUGUAAAGCCCUUUUGUUGGGAAAGAAAAGCAGCAGGUUAAUACCCCGCUGUUCUGACGGUACCCAAAGAAUAAGCACCGGCUAACUUCGUG